AAAGUUUUUCUAUAGUACACAUAAAGAGUUUUGAAAACAGAUUUCAAAAGAAACACUGCCACCUUUAUCCUAUUAUGUUCAUGCAGUCUGUACUUUGAGAAGAUUCUCACCUUCCUUUGGGUGAAUAAGUGUUGACAAUGUCAAAAUCGUUACAAAAGUGAGCCCUUAAUGAGCUUCAAGUUGAUUUUUUUUUUUUUUCAGGACCGAGAUGACAUUUGCAGAACCUACAGCAUAGUGAAGAUAGAAUGACUUCUGGCCCUCUCUCUGAGAAAAUGCCAUGUUCAUGCAUGUAUGGCAUAGGAGCUGCUGAUGAGAGCAGCAGACCUCAGAUCAAAACAAGACUUGAAGCAAGUGAGUAUGGAGCUCUCUCUCUGGGUCCAUUUGUCAUAGUUUGUUUUUUAUCACUGUUCUUGCUUUCAGUUCUUAAGUGUCAAGGGCCUAUAAUUUUUCUACCUCUGCCAGAUGUAAAUAGUGUCUUCAGUUUAGUAAAUGUCUAUGAGGAAUUUGGUAGAAUUCAUUUUCACUAUGGUGUAUAGUUUGCAGAUGUAAUGCUAAGGAUUUCAAGAGAUCCAUAUUAGUGGAUAUGGGAUAAAGCGAGGCUCAGUUUGUACGCUCAGUGAUGUACUCUAAAUGAGCUUGUGCCUUUCAGGAAAGAGAUUCAGGAGUUCCUGAGGAUGGGUAAAGUCGGACUGAAAAUACAAACCCACGCAAAAAGGCUGUUUCCAGCAGUAUCCCACCUGUGCCAUGGAUACUGUGCACAGCACUGCUAAUCCCCUCUGAAUUAAAAAAAAAAAAAAAAAGAAAAAAAAAAAGAAAAAAAGGUACAGGGAAGGACAGCAAGUAGUCAGAGGUAAAGAAUGGCAAAAGAACAGUCUGAGUAACUGAACAGAUGCCUGGAAAAGACAUUACUGACAGACUGCAACAUCAAUAGCGGUCUGUAAAACCAUGAACAGUUAUUGAAGAAGGAGAAGAGGGAACAAAUAGGGCAGAGGUGUUCAGUGCUUCUCAUAAAACAAGAAUUAGGAGGCAGUCAAUAAUACGGCUCAUGCGGCAAAUAGAUUAUUGAGCUCCCUGCCUGCUAUGGGAAGCUUAGGAUGCCAGAAAUUUGAAUAGGGGUAGAGAAAGAAGGAACAGACUGAUCUGUGGGAAACAGGUCCAUUAGACAACCCUCAGGAUGCAAUAUCUGAACUGGGAAUUUCUCAGUUCGGGGCCACCAGGAUUCCCUCCUCUCUUGGACUUCAUGAGUGGUUGCUGCUGACCACUGUCAGGGACAAGGCACUGUCUGAGUGGUCUGUCUGGUGCUGCUGUUUCUUAUAUGUAAAAGUGGGGACAAUUUAAAUCACAAUGUCAAUUUUCUACCUAGCAGAUUUUUGGGGAAAAAAGCAAAGGAAAACCUCAAUUAAACAUGAGUCCAAAAUUAAAGAAAAUUAUGAACUUGCCUCACAUGAAACCAGUGGUAAGAUUGGCUGAAUAAAUUAUUUGCUGUGACUUACUCA
rnacentral:lncRNA from 1 species